UAAUUACAGCCAUAAAAAAAAAAAAAGAACAAAAAUUAUUCCACUCUCAAAUUAUACAAUACUCUCUUUUCUUUAAUCUUUAAAAUACAUUAUUAUUUUGAAGCUCAGUUAUCAUUGGCGGUUCAAAGCGUGACGUUGCGGAAGCCUGAACCGGACCUGAGAUGCCGGCGACUUAACGGCAACACCGUGCCAACAUAUGCCACCUCGACACAUCUCAUGUGCCACGUCAUCAUCGCCACGAGUAACCGACGCACACGUCACCACCUUCCGAGACACAUCCCACGUCAGCGCCACCACCAACAACGCCCCAACCACCGUGGUCGACAGAAGCAACACCGCCACGCCACCGUAGCACCGGCCGGUCAGGUGGGCGUAACCCUUGAUGGCGGCUAUGACCGUUAAGUAGACGACGGUUAAAUUAGCGGCUAAUAUGUCUGAAAUUGGCAUAAUUGAGAUGAUUUGAUGAAGAAUGAAGGGGGAAUUAUACGAGGAAUGUUUGUUGGUGGGGUGGGGUUGGGGUUUUCGAUGUGGGUUGGGUGAAGUGGUGUUUACGAAAAGAAUGGGUUUCAUCAUUCUCUCAACAUAUUUGGGAUGGUGAUGGAUACAAGGGAAACCAGAUCCAAUUCUCGGGACCGUUGGUUUCGUCAAACGUGG
rnacentral:lncRNA from 1 species